AUCUACAAAACAAUCGCUUCAUUUUAAUGUGGUACAGACUAAAACGAUCCACCUCUAGAAUCCUCCUUGCCUGCAGCCACAUCCCCAGAGGCCUGUGCAACAGAUGCAGCUCUAGUUUACUAGUGACCCUACCAUUCUCAACUCAAAACCUCAAUCUAUUCUCUCGCUCAAGAGUCAGGAGUCCUACCCAGGAGGCUACUAGAGAGGAGCCGGGGGGCGGGGGACAGAAAGAACCAGUAACGAACCGGAUCGACCUCGUCCCACCACCGGAACUCGGCCUGGACCUUGCUCCGCACCACGUUGUACAGCAGUGUCGGGUAGAAGAGAACCCUCGCGGCGGCGCCCACCGCCGCCUCCUUCGCCUUCCUCCGCGCCGCCGCCCCGCGCCGACUGCCCGCCUCCGCGGCCAUGGUGAUGGCUUCCGAGGGAGCAAGUUUUGGAUGAAAUUGCAAUAGCAGGAUGAGAGAUAGCGGCGGGUUUGGAGAUAGAUCAAGAGUAAAUUUGGCGCGAUUCAGCGUUUGAUUCGGAGGUUGUGUGAGAGAUGAGGGGAUUUGCCAGAUUGGAGAUCG
rnacentral:misc_RNA from 1 species